AGUGAACGCUGGCGGUAGGCCUAACACAUGCAAGUCGAACGGCAGCACAGUAAGAGCUUGCUCUUACGGGUGGCGAGUGGCGGACGGGUGAGGAAUACAUCGGAAUCUACUUUUUCGUGGGGGAUAACGUAGGGAAACUUACGCUAAUACCGCAUACGACCUACGGGUGAAAGCAGGGGAUCUUCGGACCUUGCGCGAUUGAAUGAGCCGAUGUCGGAUUAGCUAGUUGGCGGGGUAAAGGCCCACCAAGGCGACGAUCCGUAGCUGGUCUGAGAGGAUGAUCAGCCCAACUGGGACUGGAGAAACGUCCCGGACUCUUAGGGGAGGCAGAGUGGGGAAUAUUUGGCAAAUGGGCGAAAGCUUGUCCAAGCCAUCCGGGGGGGGUGAAGAAGCCUUCGGGGUGGUAAGGCCUUUUGUUGGGGAAGAAAAGCAGGAAGUUAAUACCCCUGUGGUCUGGCGGUACCCAAAAGAUAAGCACCGGCUAACUUCGUG
rnacentral:rRNA from 1 species